GUCUAAGGCAACGCCACCCUGAACAAGCCUGAUGUCUGAUCUCAGAAGCUAAGCAGGGUCGGGUCUGGUUAGUACUUGAAUGGGAAACCACCUAGGAAGACAAGGUGCUGUAGGCA
rnacentral:rRNA from 1 species